AUACUUCAAAUGUAUGGGCAAGACUUAAUAAACCAAAGCUUAAUCGAAGUAGUGCAAUUAACUUAUAAUAAACUCUCAUCUUCUUUUUUUCUCUUGAAAAGCAUGGAGCCUGUAUCUAUAGCAACCAAAAUCAUGGUGAUAUUUAUAUAUGUUUUGGCUUUGAUGCUUAUCUUCCUAGAGGUGGCUACUGCGUUUGAUGUAGUCCCAGAAAAACUUGGUCGAAAGAUUCUAGAAGAAAGCUAUGAAACAGAUGGCCGCAGUGGAUAUAAUUCCAUUGGCCGAGGAGGAUACAAUUAACCACCUAAACAUAUAUAUAUAUAUAUAUAUAUAUUUAUAUGAAAAGAAAAAUGAUGUCGUUUUCUUAGUUAUGUUGGUUAUAUAUAUUGGAAUAAAUAUCGUGAUACAUGUACUGUGUUUGUACUCUUAAACUAAAUAAAUUAUAUAUAAUAUAAUAAAAUUGGCACUUAGUAGCCAUAUAUA